UUGUUUAUUACGUUGUUCAGAUUUUUCAAAAUGAUUUUUAGAUCCCAUCGGCGGACACUCGUCAGCGAACCGACGGCAGUACGGCCCACCGAGGCAACAGAGGUAUGUAGAUUAGGGGUUUGAGGUCGGCCGAAGCCGGGACUCGAUAAUGAUCCUUCCGCAGGUUCACCUACGGAAA
rnacentral:misc_RNA from 1 species